AUUGAACGCUGGCGGCAGGCCUAACACAUGCAAGUCGAACGAGUGGCGGACGGGUGAGUAAUGUCUGGGAAACUGCCUGAUGGAGGGGGAUAACUACUGGAAACGGUAGCUAAUACCGCAUACCAUCAGAUGUGCCCAGAUGGGAUUAGCUAGUUGGUGGGGUAACGGCUCACCAAGGCGACGAUCCCUAGCUGGUCUGAGAGGAUGACCGGCUACACUUGAACGGUGACACGGUCGAGACUCCGCCGUGAGGCAGAAGUGGGGAAUAUUGCACAAUGGGCGCAAGCAUGAUGCAGCAAUGCCUCGUGUAUGAAGAAGGCCUUCGGGUUGUAAAGUACUUUCAGCGGGGAGGCGUUACCCGCAGAAGAAGCACCGGCUAACUCCGUGCCAGCAGCCGCGGUAAUUC
rnacentral:rRNA from 1 species